rnacentral:rRNA from 1 species
CAUGCGGCAACCUUAACAUGCAGUCGUACGGAGAGUGGGGCGACUCACUCUCAGUGGCAAACGGGUGAGUAACACGUGAAUAACCUACCUUUGAGAAGGGGAUAACUGUCCGAAAGGAUAGCUGAUACCCUAUAUUGCCUUUUGUCGCUAAGGCAAAAGAUGAAAGCGAGGCUGUCAAAGGCUUCGGCUCAAAGAGGGGAUCGCGUCCUAUCAGGUAGUUGGUGAGGUAAUGGCCUACCAAGCCGAUGACGGGUAGCUGGUCUUAGAGGAUAGGCAGCAGCAGUGGGACUGAGACACGGCCCGCACCCCUACGGGGGGCAGCAGUGGGGAAUCGUGGGCAAGGGGCGCAAGCCUGACCCCGCAAUGCCGCGUGAGGGAAGAAGCCCUUCGGGGUGUAAACCUCUGUCAGAUAGGAAGAUGGGACUAGGGGCUAAUACCUCCUAGUCUUGACGGUACCAUCAGAGGAAGGGACGGAUAACUACGUGCCAGCAGCCGCGGUAAU